AUUACUUACAAUGUGAUUAUUGGGUUUUCUAUUGCUACUGUUUGUAGCUUAUUUUUGAAUUUGCUCAAUAAAAAAAUAUAGUGCAAAGAAGUAGUUAACAAAACAGACACAUAUAGUGUAGUUUAAUGAAUAAACUACUGGAUACAUACAAUGAUUAAUAUUCAAAAACGGCACAAAGUUAUAAUUUGACUUGCCAUUUUUUAUGCUCCAAAUAUAUGAAUGAAUGACAUGAACACAUAUACCAGGUUAAUUACUAAAAUAGAAAUUCUAAGUAAAUUCCAAGUCAAUUUCAAAUGUAGGACCAGAGUAACA